rnacentral:rRNA from 2 species
GGUUCUGAUUUUGAAAGGUGCUUGCAUCUUGAUUUAAUUUUGAACGAGUGGCGGACGGGUGAGUAACACGUGGGUAACCUGCCCUUAAGUGGGGGAUAACAUUUGGAAACAGAUGCUAAUACCGCAUAAAUCCAAGAACCGCAUGGUUCUUGGCUGAAAGAUGGCGUAAGCUAUCGCUUUUGGAUGGACCCGCGGCGUAUUAGCUAGUUGGUGAGGUAACGGCUCACCAAGGCAAUGAUACGUAGCCGAACUGAGAGGUUGAUCGGCCACAUUGGGACUGAGACACGGCCCAAACUCCUACGGGAGGCAGCAGUAGGGAAUCUUCCACAAUGGACGCAAGUCUGAUGGAGCAACGCCGCGUGAGUGAAGAAGGCUUUCGGGUCGUAAAACUCUGUUGUUGGAGAAGAAUGGUCGGCAGAGUAACUGUUGUCGGCGUGACGGUAUCCAACCAGAAAGCCACNGNUUACUACCUGCCACCAGCCGGGNAAUUUCA